CCACCCCCCACCCAGCCUGAAGAUAACCUGUGGUUUGAGGCUGCAGUUAACAGGUGACUCCCCAUCCUCGUGCUCAGCGGUAGAGGUCCCCUAGAGCAUCCUCUCUCCCUUUUCUCAUUUCUCCUCUGGAGUAUCCUAUCAGGGGUACUUUCCAGCAUCUGUUUACCGGCUUGCGUUUAUUUAUAGGUAAGGAGCUCACCAACCCCAGGGCAGCUUGUCUGGUUAGAUUCUGUCUGCCCGUUAAGACCUUGAAUUGGCAGGAUACUGAGCCAGACUUGCUUGUUUGCCUGUAACUUUUCUCUCUCUGCUGUUUCCCCCUCUAGAGUGACACAGGAUAAGUAGGCCUCCAAGAUUUGCAAAGAGCCGUCAUCAUCCCCAAGCCCUCUUGGUGCCACAGUGAGCAGCCCUUCUUCCUCCAGCUUGUUUAUGGUAGAUGUGCUUUCCCGCACCAUCGGGACAGUGCCCUCUCCUCUGCAGUGUCUUCUCGAGCCUGGGUGCCUGCAUCGUGACUCUUGAUGACGGUCCAGGGAGGAAGCUGAGGUGCCCAGGUAAAGCUGCAUCCCAAAGGGUGACUUGAAUGCGGACGGUAGUGCCAGUGAGGAAGCUGGAGGUGAGGAAUUUUUCUCCCUUCUUUAUCAAGUUUAAAAAAACUUUUGAGAGGUGCAUUUCAGGAUAGAAACGCAGAGCCAAAGAUGCUCCCUGGUAAGGGGAUCCCUGCAGUAUGGUGGCAGGCAGGGAAGGGAGGCUAAGGACGGGGUACUGCAG
rnacentral:lncRNA from 1 species